GCUUUGAAACAGUGGUUCCUGUACAAUUACUGCAGUUAAGCAGCAUCGAUCCUGGUCAGUACCUAGAUGGGUGACCACUUGGGAAUACCAGGUGCUGUAAG